rnacentral:misc_RNA from 1 species
CCAAUAGCGUAUAUUAAAGUUGUUGCAGUUAAAAAGCUCGUAGUUGAAUUUCGGGGUUAGUAGGUUGGUCAUGCCUCUGGUAUGUACUGGUCUCACUGAUUCCUCCUUCCUGAUGAGCCGUAAUGCCAUUAAUUUGGUGUUGCGGGGAAUUUGGACUGUUACUUUGAAAAAAUUAGAGUGUUUAAAGCAAGCUAACGCUUGAAUACAUUAGCAUGGAAUAAUGAAAUAGGACGUUCGAUCCUAUUUUGUUGGUUUCUAGGAUUGACGUAAUGAUUAAUAGGGAUAGUUGGGGGCAUUAGUAUUCAAUUGUCAGAGGUGAAAUUCUUGGAUUUAUUGAAGACUAACUACUGCGAAAGCAUUUGCCAAGGAUGUUUUCAUUAAUCAAGAACGAAAGUUAGGGGAUCGAAGACGAUCAGAUACCGUCGUAGUCUUAACCAUAAACUAUGCCGACUAGGGAUCGGAUGAUGUUAUUUUUAAUGACUCAUUCGGCGCCUUACG